GAUAUUUUAUUGCCAGGCAAGGUUUAGACAGAACAGCGGGUUAACAAGUGGAAAAACAUACUCCUUUACUGUUCCUUUAAAUUGAUGCAUCUCCAUGUUAAAUACCAAAAGGGACAUUUGGAGAAAGUAAAUCAAAAUUUGCAGAUGGAAAAAGAUUUUUUUCCCCCUAAAUAUUCGUGCACCAUUCCAUUCUAUUAAUACUCUGCUAAUCGUUCUGUCAUCGUGCGGACAGUCCAAAUACUAUCAGGCAGAGAAAAUGUUCUCCUCCAAUUUGGGCAAAUAUCACUUGAUGGCUG